CGCGUGCGGGAAGAAGGCCUUCGGGUUGUAAACCGCUUUUGUCAGGGAAGAAAUCCUUUGAGUUAAUACCUCGGGGGGAUGACGGUACCUGAAGAAUAAGCACCGGCUAACUACGUGCCAGCAGCCGCGGUAAUACGUAGGGUGCAAGCGUUAAUCGGAAUUACUGGGCGUAAAGCGUGCGCAGGCGGUUAUAUAAGACAGAGGUGAAAUCCCCGGGCUCAACCUGGGAACUGCCUUUGUGACUGUAUAGCUUGAGUGCGGCAGAGGGGGAUGGAAUUCCGCGUGUAGCAGUGAAAUGCGUAGAUAUGCGGAGGAACACCGAUGGCGAAGGCAAUCCCCUGGGCCUGCACUGACGCUCAUGCACGAAAGCGUGGGGAGCAAACAGGAUUAGAUACCCUGGUAGUCCACGCCCUAAACGAUGUCAACUGGUUGUUGGGAAGGUUCCUUCUCAGUAACGUAGCUAACGCGUGAAGUUGACCGCCUGGGGAGUCGGCCGCAAGGUUGAAACUCAAAGGAAUU
rnacentral:rRNA from 1 species